rnacentral:rRNA from 1 species
GACGAACGCUGGCGGCGUGCUUAACACAUGCAAGUCGAACGGAAAGGCCCUGCUUUUGUGGGGUGCUCGAGUGGCGAACGGGUGAGUAACACGUGAGUAACCUGCCCUUGACUUUGGGAUAACUUCAGGAAACUGGGGCUAAUACCGGAUAGGAGCUCCUGCUGCAUGGUGGGGGUUGGAAAGUUUCGGCGGUUGGGGAUGGACUCGCGGCUUAUCAGCUUGUUGGUGGGGUAGUGGCUUACCAAGGCUUUGACGGGUAGCCGGCCUGAGAGGGUGAACGGCCACAAUGGGACUGAGAUACGGAGCAGACUGCUACGGGAGGCAGCAGUGGGGAAUAUUGCACAAUGGGCGGAAGCCUGAUGCAGCAACGCCGCGUGCGGGAUGACGGCCUUCGGGUUGUAAACCGCUUUCGCCUGUGACGAAGCGUGAGUGACGGUAAUGGGUAAAGAAGCACCGGCUAACUACGUG